rnacentral:rRNA from 1 species
AUUGAACGCUGGCGGAAUGCUUUACACAUGCAAGUCGAACGGCAGCACGGACUUCGGUCUGGUGGCGAGUGGCGAACGGGUGAGUAACAUAUCGGAACGUAUCCAAUAAUGGGGGAUAACUAAUCGAAAGGUUGGCUAAUACCGCAUACGCCCUACGGGGGAAAGCAGGGGAUCUUCGGACCUUGCGUUAAUGGAGCGGCUGAUAUCUGAUUAGCUAGUUGGUGAGGUAAAGGCUCACCAAGGCGACGAUCAGUAGCUGGUCUGAGAGGACGACCAGGCACACUGGAACUGAGCCACGGUCCAGACUCCUACGGGAGGCAGCAGUGGGGAAUUUUGGACAAUGGGCGCAAGCCUGAUCCAGCCAUUCCGCGUGAGUGAAGAAGGCCUUCGGGUUGUAAAGCUCUUUCGCAAGGGAAGAAAACUUACUUUCUAAUAAAGAGUGAGGUUGACGGUACCUUGAUAAGAAGCACCGGCUAACUACGUGCCAGCAGCCGCCGUAA